UCUCCCUGCGAUCCCACAGAAAUUGGCCAUCAGUGUUGCUAAAUCCCGGCAAUAAAGUCAACAGCAAGUGAAAUUUGUGAUCGAUUUGUGAUUGAAAUCCGCAGUGCCGUGUGCGAAAUUUCACCGUCUUUCUUUAUCUCUCUCUCUUCCAAAAUGUGAUAUCCCACGGGAAAACCGAAGAAGAUUCAAAUCAAUAAGAAGAAAAAAAAAUCAAUCCAAAAACCUCCAUUGGCAUGCCCCUUGAAAAUGCUCCCCCCGAGAAGCACCUCCGCAGAAGUGUGACCAUCCAUCUGUCGCCACAUUCACGGCUGCUGUGAAUGCUUCCGAAGCGCAAACGUAAACGCUACCGCCGCAUCAACUCUAGUCAUCCACCGCCGGCAAAGGCUUCAAACUGGAGCUUCUACAGCGAGUCAUGUUCCUGCUGGGGUGGACCCUGGUCCUCGGGCUAGUGGAAACCACCAGCCCCCUCAGCGUGGUCCACCAUCCCCAGCAGCAGCAGCAGCAGCAGCAAAAGCAGCAAUCGCAAUCUUCCGGGCUCGGUAGUCCCGAGGGGCUGAUCAUCGAGGAUUCGCCGAUCGCCCCCUCGUCGCAGUACAUCGUCCAGAAGGACGUCUGGAACGGAGGAAGUGCCAGCAGUAGCAAUCGUCACCUUCACCAUCACAAUAGUCAACAGUCCCCGCACUCAUCAUCCUCUAGUGGUAGUGAUAGUGCCCCUAGCGAUGUCCCCCAUCGAUCCCCCCUGAUUCCCGGCGGUAGAAGUAACGAUACUUUCCGUUCUUUCAUCCCAGGAACGGGAGGCGGAGGUAACGGAGGAUCGUCAGGUGGUUCGCACGGUGGUGGUGGUGGUGGUGGUGGAGGUGGUUUCAGCAGCUUCUUCGGCUUGAGCGGCGGCGGUGAGUGGACACUGAUGGAUUGCUUCUCGCUGCGGAGAACCCACCAUCUGUACUACCAAAUCGGCAGUGGGUUGUUCUUCUUGGCCUUCCUGGCCCCGAAUGCCCCCUUCGGGAUGCUGUGGCUGCGGUGUAUGGUCAUUGCCGGGAGCGUGCUGCUCAUCAUCUGGGGCUGGCAGGUCGAGUGCACGAUGGACGCCGUCAUCUGGGCCAGCUUGUUCCUGAUCAUCAAUGCGAUCUACGUGGGGGCGCUGCUGUGCAAGCUGCGGCCGGUCAAGUUCGAGAAGGAGAUCGAAGCGGUCUACGUGGCCCUAUUCAAACCCCUCCGGGUGUCGCGUCAUCAGUUCAAGAAGGUGCUCAACUGCAUGAAGCUGGUCCGGUCGCUCAAGUACCAGGAGAUCUACGCCCAGGAGAAGGUCACCAAGGUGGACAGCCUUUCGUUGGUCCUGUCGGGGAAGCUCGUGGUUUCCCAGAAUCAAAAGGCGCUGCACAUAGUUUUUCCGCACCAGUUCCUGGAUUCGCCCGAGUGGUUCGGAGUGUCUACGGAUGACUACUUCCAGGUGUCAAUUAUGGCCAUGGAAGAGUCCCGGGUCCUGAUCUGGCACCGGGACAAGCUGAAACUGUCAAUUAUGGCGGAACCGUUCCUGCAGGCGGUGUUCGAUCACAUCCUCGGCCGGGACGUCGUCAAGAAGCUGAUGCAGGUGACGCAGGUCAGCGAAACGAUGGCCCAGAGCAAUGGGUACAUCUCGUCCGGCUACGGCGAAGAUGCAGAGGACAAACCGAUGCUGGUGAUGAAGAACAGCAAAUCCAGCGACAACGGAGGCCACGGCCUAACGGCGCUCAUCAACCGGCAGCUGCAGGAGGAGAGCGUCCCCCUGCUGCUGAAUCCGGCCAACCCGACGCCGCUGAUGUCCCUGCACAUGCGCCUACUGCAUUCGGUCGAGAACAAAUUCAUCAAAAAGAUCUACGACGUGUGACGACCGGACCGGAUGCCGCCAUGGCAACUGGCGACCGCCAACGAACGAAAACCGGAUCGGCGCAGAAUAUGAGAAAAAACAAUCAACGAAUGUUACACACAUUUUGUCUAGUCCUUUAAAUUUUGGUGUUUUAGUUUCGUGUCUUUUGCGUUCUUAUCUUUUUUUUUUAAUUUUUGUAAAACCUCAAACAUCGAACCAGCGGCAACCGAAGCGGCAAUGAAGCGGCAACGAUUUUUUACACAAAUCUACUUGUUUUUUUUAUUUGCUGCCUGUUUUUGAAUCCGCUAUUUUUCGCAGCAGCGGACCCGAACGCGUGGCGCCUCGGCCGGAUCGACGAAGCGGACCACGAGACGGCCGUCUAAUAUUAGGCCUGGCGGUGUGCCCCCUACUACCAAGUGGAUCCACUCCGGAGCAUCAUUCCGCUGGACGUGGAUUGGACGCGGCUUGAGGAGCAGAACGGCGGCAACUGAAAAGAGUCGAUUUCGUUCCGACAGGGCGGACACACCGGAACCAGGUUUAGGUCUGAGAAUAAAACAAUAGGAUAUAGUUUGUAAUGUUGCUGCAAAGUUGCGUUUAUUUUCCACACUUAGAUAGUAGAGUAAAGUUCGAAAAAACUGUGCUUUUAAAUUGAGAAUAGGAUGUAGUUUCGGAAUAUUGGUGCACCGACGAGCGCAACUUACUCACAGUGAAUGUCAGCUUAGUUUCAGCGUUCUGUGUUGUACGGAGGUUUAAUGAUGUGCAAAACAAAUAACUUGGUCCUACUUGAAUGUGAAAGCCUUACUAAAUAGUGAUUUUGAGUUAAACAUAAAAUCUGCUCCGAUCUAUUUAUUGCUUUUCGUCUGCACCUAGAUGGGAAAAUACACCUAGUAAUUUAACAAAUUUCAAUCUAACCAGAAAUGAAGCUGUUGUUUCUCAAUCAAAGGACAUUUAGAACGAAACAAAAACAUGUAAAUAACUGAAUUGCAAAAAAACAAUUAGAGCAACAAAUUGAAACCAAAAAAUAAAAACAGAACCCCUAUAGGAUAUUGUUGAAGCAGUAAAACAAAAAUAAAAACUCUUGAUGUUUGAGGUUAUUGUGUACAAUACAAACACAACAAAAUAGCAUUUUAGAUUUAGCGAACGACGAACAGGAUGAGGAUGAGUUUUAUUUUCCUAGAAAAGUUGAACCUGACUACAAUGAAAGCGAAACUCUACAUCAUAUAUCGAUAUGGGAUUGUGUUUGAUGUGAACCAUUUUAGUCGUCGAAUGAACAAAAACACACACUCUUAGUACGUACUACUAAACGCAGUAAACUAAAGAAUAAUGUUAGGACAAAGUGUAGUGUGAUAGUAUGGCAAACAAUGAACUUGUUGAUAACAUUAGAUAGGUGACCUAAAAAGAAAACUCUAAACCAACAGAAAAGGAACGAUAAAAUAAAAUAACAAGAUCACAACACAAAAUUAACUAA